CGUGGGAACCUGCCUUUCGGUUUGGAAUAACGUCUGGAAACGGACGCUAACACCGGAUACGUCCUUCGGGAGAAAGUUUACGCCGAGAGAGGGGCCCGCGUUGGAUUAGGUAGUUGGUGAGGUAACGGCUCACCAAGCCGACGAUCCGUAGCUGGUUUGAGAGGAUGAUCAGCCCCCCUGGGACUGAGACACGGCCCCGACUCCUUCGGGAGGCAGCAGUGGGGAAUAUUGGACAAUGGGGGCAAGCCUGAUCCAGCAAUGCCGCGUGAGUGAUGAAGGCCUUAGGGUUGUAAAGCUUUUUUGCCCGCGACGAUGAUGACGGUAGCGUGAGAAGAAGCCCCGGCUAACUUCGUG
rnacentral:rRNA from 1 species